GCCGGGCAUGGUGGUGCAUGCCUGUAAUCCCAGCUACUCGGGAGGCUGAGGCAGGAGAAUUGCUUGAACCCGGGAGGCAGAGGUUGCAGUGAGCCAAGAUCACACCACUGCACUCCAGCCUGGGUGACAGAGUGAGACUCUGUCUUAA
rnacentral:SRP_RNA from 1 species